rnacentral:rRNA from 1 species
UACGGAGGGUGCAAGCGUUAUCCGGAUUCACUGGGUUUAAAGGGUGCGUAGGUGGGCUGGUAAGUCAGUGGUGAAAUCUCCAGGCUUAACUUGGAAACUGCCAUUGAUACUAUUAGUCUUGAAUACCGUGGAGGUCAGCGGAAUAUGUCAUGUAGCGGUGAAAUGCUUAGAUAUGACAUAGAAUACCAAUUGCGAAGGCAGCUGGCUACACGAAUAUUGACACUGAUGCACGAAAGCGUGGGGAUCAAACAGG